rnacentral:rRNA from 1 species
GAGGAUCAUUCACGAGAAUGGGUCUUGUACCCAAAUCUCCCAACCCUUUGCAAACUUCAAAUUCUUGUUUGGCAAGCCGAGUGCUUCGCUCCACCGGCUUCGGUUGGUGCGUGCUUGCCAAAGUUUUUCAAAUUCAAUUUUGAAAUGUCUGAAAUCAAUACAAAACAAAUAGCCUAAAACUUUCAACAACGGAUCUCUUGGUUCUGGCGUCGAUGAAGAACGCAGCGAAAUGCGAAAAGUAAUGUGAAUUGCAGAUCAGUGAAUCAUCGAAUCUUUGAACGCACAUUGCACCAUCUGGUAUUCCGGAUGGUAUGCUUGUUCGAGCGUCGCAAUCAAUCAAACGAAUUGAAUUUUGUUUGGAUUUAGAGUCCUGUCNAAUCUCGACAACUCCGAAAAUUAUGGGCGGUGUGAUUAGAAUGCCUAGCGCGAUAGCUUUUUUCUUCNCUAGAAGUGUUCGGUUGUGCCUGCCUUGAAAACCUCUAUCCAAUAAUUCGACCUCGGAUCAAGUAGGGAUACCCGCUGAACUUAAGCAUAUCAAUAAGCGGAGGA